UCUAAAGCAGCUGGGGUAAGUUAUUCUCCCUUAGUUGAUCAAUCUAAAGCAGCUAUGACUGCAUCGACAACCUCCUGUGUCGUGCUCUGUCCACCGAGGUCCUUGGUUCGGUGCUUGCCUUCGAAUAUCACCUUCUUGACUGCUGUUUCUAAUCGAUCGGCAAAAGAAGGAAACUGGAGAUGUCUCAGCAUCAUGGCGGAUGAUAACAGCAGUGCAACAGGGUUUGCCUUCUUUUGUUCCACAAGCCUCUCAUUCCCCACGUUUCCUGCUGAAGCUCCUUGCUCAAAAACAGCGUGAUCAGCGCCGACAUUGCCUCCCGGCAUAACG
rnacentral:misc_RNA from 1 species